rnacentral:rRNA from 1 species
UACGUAGGGUGCGAGCGUUGUCCGGAAUUAUUGGGCGUAAAGAGCUCGUAGGCGGCUUGUCGCGUCGGAUGUGAAAGCCCGGGGCUCAACUCCGGAAUUGCCUUUAAGACUGCAUCGCUAGAAUUGUGGAGAGGUAAGUGGAAUUCCGAGUGUAGAGGUGAAAUUCGUAGAUAUUCGGAAGAACACCAGUGGCGAAGGCGACUUACUGGACACAUAUUGACGCUGAGGUGCGAAAGCGUGGGGAGCAAACAGG